rnacentral:rRNA from 1 species
GAUGAACGCUGGCGGCGUGCCUAAUACAUGCAAGUCGAGCGAACGGACGAGGAGCUUGCUUCUCUGAUGUUAGCGGCGGACGGGUGAGUAACACGUGGAUAACCUACCUAUAAGACUGGGAUAACUUCGGGAAACCGGAGCUAAUACCGGAUAAUAUUUUGAACCGCAUGGUUCAAAAGUGAAAGACGGUCUUGCUGUCACUUAUAGAUGGAUCCGCGCUGCAUUAGCUAGUUGGUAAGGUAACGGCUUACCAAGGCAACGAUGCAUAGCCGACCUGAGAGGGUGAUCGGCCACACUGGAAGUGAGACACGGUCCAGACUCCUACGGGAGGCAGCAGUAGGGAAUCUUCCGCAAUGGGCGAAAGCCUGACGGAGCAACGCCGCGUGAGUGAUGAAGGUCUUCGGAUCGUAAAACUCUGUUAUUAGGGAAGAACAUAUGUGUAAGUAACUGUGCACAUAUUGACGGUACCUAAUCAGAAAGCCACGGCUAACUACGUG